CCCAAUUCUCUCGGUUGGAAAACUAACACUUUAAAUACCCUAAAUUGGAAAAAGUGUGGCAAAGUGUGAUUUUCAGUGGGUUUUUUUUUGCCUUUUAACUCAAUAACUGUAUCAUCUACGUAAAAUCCGUUGACAUUACCGAAAAGAUUCAAAAUGAGUACCACAAUGGAAAAAAUACGAUCUAAUCAGACGAAAAAUUAAAUCUAAAACACUUCAUCAGGAAUCAACCCCUUGUAUUUCAGAAAUUGUUGACGCUACUCCAAAUCUGUUGAC
rnacentral:lncRNA from 1 species